rnacentral:tRNA from 1 species
AUCUAGAUAGUUUAAUAAAAAUGUUGAUUUGUGGUGUCAACGAUGGGGCUAACUGCUUCUUUGGAUU